GUUGUCUAUAAGUCAUGACCUGAUUGGUUAGGUAGCUUAACUGGUAACACCAUUGAGGUCGUAAGUUCAAAAAAAAAAAAGAGAGAUAAUUUCACUUUCAUACCCUGAACUUUAGGUCUAAAAUCAGUUUGAUACCUCAUCUUUUUUUUUAAUCAGUUUCAUACCUAAACUUUCAAAAUGACAUUAAUCUCGACUAAAAUGACUAAAAUAGCCCUGGUUAAUCUUUUUUAUCCUCUCAGAGUUAAGAAUGACAGCGGCGACGGCCGGGGGAGGAGGAGGGGCUGCCGCCGGGGCCCAUUGCUAGUGGUAGGGGUGGAUGCCGGUGCCGGCCAUAUGAUGAAUUUGGAGGCAGAGAGAGAGAGAGGGUAAAAAGAUUAACCAGGGCUAUUUUAGUUAUUUUGGUCGAGAUUGAUGUCAUUUUGAAAGUUUAUGACACGACCCACCCCGAAUUUCACCCUGAAACCCAAAGUAAGUCGUGCGAGGACCACCUCCAAGGAAAGUUUACCGAAAAAUCGGCAUAACCUCCCUUAAAAAUGGACAACCCUUCCUAAUAAUACCUGCAUACACUUCUGAUAAACCAAAUCAAACCUUAAACUCCUGGAGCCUUCAUGCUCCCCCAAAUCACAACAUCUCCCAAUUAUUUAAAAAUCUACACAAAUCUCAUAUCCAACCAUUUAUAGGUUCAGAGCAACACUAAUAGGAAGAAAGGAAACAUGAUAAAUUAACAAGCGGAAGCUAUAUGAUGACUAUGCCUCAUCCCCAUGUACGCCUAACCUCAACUAUGCAAUCCUGCAACUGGGCAUUUUAAAACGAAGGGCCCAGGGGAAAACAUUUGAAACCGUUAGAGUGAGUGGACAAAAACAUAAAUUUAAUGAAAAUAUUUAUGCUUUCCCAAUUUACAUUUCCAUAGAAAAUAUGCUGCAUGCGACAGCUCAAAAACGCUCAACACAAAAACUGGCAAUUUCAUAACUAGCUCCAGCCAGUCUCCAAAUCUCAAUAAAAUACAGCCUCUCAGGCUAAAAUAAAAUAUGUAUGUAUUACACUCGUCAUAUCCCUUGUAUGAAUUUUCUUGAAACAACAAAGACAAAUAGAAAAUUCACACAAGGCUACGAUGCUUGCGUCUAACGCUCACGUCACACCAUAAUGACAUUUUACCUCAUUAUGGUGGAAAAGACGGUGUAUAAAUAUACGCGCAUAUCCCUUAUAUAAAUUUUAUAUUUAUAUAGGGCUACGACGAUUGAGUCUAACGCUCACGUCGCACCAUAAUGGAAUUUUACAUCAGUAUGGUGGAAAAGCAUGUAUAGCUAGCUAGCAUUCCCUCAUAUACAUAUUAUUCUCAUAAUCAUCCAAAUAUGGAUAUAUAUAUAUAUAUAUAUAUACUCUCCGAAAUUCUCAAUUUCGGUUAUUCUCCAACAAUAAUGAAAAUUGCCAAUUAUCAUAAAAAAACAAUAUGCACACGAUUCCACCGAAAAUCUCAUUUCCGGUAACUUUCCAAAUAACACGAUAGCCAUUAAAAUUGAGAACAUUUACUUCUGAAAAUGACUUCGCGAAAAUAGACAAUUCCACAAAUUGAUAUUCAAUAAAAUCAAUCAUUUAAUGUAGAAUCACCGCAUACAUAUAUUUUAAAACAAAAGUCCACUCACAACUUUAGGCCUAAGCCUGACGUCAAUCCGAGGUCUCUUCUACUCGAGCCUCCUCACGUCCUGUUCCAAAUAUAAUAUUAAUUUCCCAGCCGAAAUUCCAAUAUUUACACAAAAUAGGCAAAAAUUAACCGAGAGCCAUUAACCCGCUCAUCUUUGCCUAACUGCGAAAUGGUCCACACAUCAACCCUAGAACCAGCAGCUAAACUACACAUUCCCACAGAAAACGGCUUAAAUCCUACGGCCGGAUUCUACAUUAUUCAACCGCCAAAAAUACCACACUUCGGAAAAUCAUAAACCUAUCCAAAACUCAUCCAAAAAUUCCAUAAUUCACUUCAAUAAACUCCCCUUAAUAAUUCAAAUUUAAAAACAUUAAAAUCUCCUAACCGGCGCCGGCGCCGGAGCCAGCCACGCCGGCAGCGGCGGCCGGAGGCCGAUUCCGGCAACCUUCAAUGCUCAUCAAAUUUUAAUAGCAUCUUCCUCUCAACCCCCUCUACAACUUUCCUAACUAGUACAAACACAAAAUUCAAACCUAACUAGGGCAAUCGAACACAGACACCUAAAGAGCCCUAGGAUUUCAACUUUGAAUUUCUCAUUACCUAGCUCAAGAGGGAGUGAGACAUUUGGAGGGGUU
rnacentral:lncRNA from 1 species